UGACGCUCCAUCGAGGCAGGGCGUCUGUGACAACCUUGUGUUGAUUCGCGAUCUAAUAGAAAUGAUAAAUUAAUUUUAUUUUUGUGUGUUUGUGUGUGAGGUGAUAUAGGAAUUGGUGAUAAAAAAACCGGAUGGAAAACAAUAGUGUCAGUGAAGUGACGUUAUGAUGUCAUUAGUGUCCGAUAGAUGGCGUUGUUCGAGAUGUGUGAUGAUAGUGUCAAUUGUUGAUUAUUAUUGUUUUCAGUGAAGUGAAGUGAGAUGCGAGACGGGUCUAAGCCUGGCCCGAGUGGAAGCUCGUCCGGGCAUGUUUUGGAUAAGGAUAAUGAUG
rnacentral:misc_RNA from 1 species